AUACGUAGGGUGCGAGCGUUAAUCGGAAUUACUGGGCGUAAAGCGUGCGCAGGCGGUGCUGUAAGACCGAUGUGAAAUCCCCGGGCUUAACCUGGGAACUGCAUUGGUGACUGCAGCGCUGGAGUAUGGCAGAGGGGGGUGGAAUUCCACGUGUAGCAGUGAAAUGCGUAGAGAUGUGGAGGAACACCGAUGGCGAAGGCAGCCCCCUGGGCCAAUACUGACGCUCAUGCACGAAAGCGUGGGGAGCAACCAGGAUUAGAUACCCUGGUAGUCCACGCCCUAAACGAUGUCAACUGGUUGUCGGGCCUUCAUUGGCUUGGUAACGUAGCUAACGCGUGAAGUUGACCGCCCGGGGAGUACGGUCGCAAGAUUAAA
rnacentral:rRNA from 1 species